AGAUGUCUUUAUUCCUCUUAAAGAUAGGAGAUUAUCUGUGGACUUUUCAGCUGCAAUUGACUGGUCCUUGAUUUUUGCUGCAAACGACUAUCCUUUGACUUUCUAUCACCAGCUGAUGUUUGCUUGCACUCAGACUGUUCAUCUAGUUAAAUACUCCAUAUGAAUUGAGGCUCUUCAGUGCCCAUGUUAUUGUCUUACUUAAUUCCCCUGUAUUCACCUUGAUUUUAUUACGCUUCAAGUCCUGUCAGUUGAACUUGGAUUUCAAUAUCCACCCUGAGGGGGUUUUUCCUUGACUGGCCGUGCAUGAAGCUAGGAGUAAUCUAGAGAGACGAUCUUGUCCUAAUUCCCCUGAAGAAGCCAAGAGGCGAAACUAGUAGGGUCGACCUGAUCGAAAAAAUUAUUUCUAGAUCUUGCUC